rnacentral:rRNA from 1 species
GACGAACGCUGGCGGCGUGCUUAACACAUGCAAGUCGAACGAUGAAGCUGGAGCUUGCUCCGGUGGAUUAGUGGCGAUCGGGUGAGUAACACGUGAGCAAUCUGCCCUUGACUCUGGGAUAACUGCGGGAAACUGUAGCUAAUACCGGAUACGAGGCUCGAAGGCAUCUUCGGGUCUGGAAAGAAUUUCGGUCAAGGAUGAGCUCGCGGCCUAUCAGCUUGUUGGUGAGGUAAUGGCUCACCAAGGCGACGACGGGUAGCCGGCCUAGAGGGUGACCGGCCACACUGGGACUGAGACACGGCCCAGACUCCUACGGGAGGCAGCAGUGGGGAAUAUUGCACAAUGGGCGAAAGCCUGAUGCAGCAACGCCGCGUGAGGGAUGAAGGCCUUCGGGUUGUAAACCUCUUUUAGCAGGGAAGAAGCGAAAGUGACGGUACCUGCAGAAAAAGCACCGGCUAACUACGUGCCAGCAGCCGCCGUAA